AAGAAGAAAAGUUAACUCAUCCGGUCAUGUGACAUUUAUUGUUUAUAGAUUUUUAGCAACACACGAGAGGUCUGGACCCUGGACAGAAAUACACAUUGCUACUCAAUCUGUAUUCAUCUUGUGACUUCUCCUUGGAAGAAGGAGAGAGGGACUCUAGGAGGGACAUAAAGGAGUUGAUGAAAUCCUGUUAAGACAUAGACAAUCAGAUGGUAUGGCCUCUGAGGACCCCCAAGACCAACUGGAUGAGGCUAUUAAAAAGGCAGAAUGGCUUGCUGAGGAGCUCAUCCAAGAGAAGGACCUACAAGCCCAAAUGGAAGUGGCCAUUAACGAU